UAAGUUGAAUGUGAAAUCUCUGGGCUCAACCUAGAAACUGCAUUCAAAACUGCUUAGCUAGAGUAUGGUAGAGGAUAGUGGAAUUUCCUGUGUAGCGGUGGAAUGUGUAGAUACAGGAAGGAACACCAGUUGCGAAGGCGGCUAUCUGGACCAAUACUGACGCUGAGAUACGAAAGCUUGGGUAGCAAACAGGAUUAGAUACCCUGGUAGUCCAUGCUGUAAACGAUGAAAACUAGCUGUUGGACCCUUUAAGGGUUUUGUGGCGAAGCUAACGCGAUAAGUUUUCCGCCUGGGGAGUACGACCGCAAGGUUAAAACUCAAAUGAAUUGACGGGAGCCCGCACAAGCGGUGGAGCAUGUGGUUUAAUUCGAUGCAACGCGAAGAACCUUACCUACACUUGACAUCCUCGGAAUUUAGCAGAGAUGCUUUAGUGCCUCCGGGAACCGAGUGACAGGUGCUGCAUGGCUGUCGUCAGCUCGUGUCGUGAGAUGUUGGGUUAAGUCCCGUAACGAGCGCAACCCUUAUCUUUAGUUGCCAGCACGUAAUGGUGGGGACUCUAGAGAGACUGCCAGUGAUAAACUGGAGGAAGGUGGGGACGACGUCAAGUCAUCAUGGCCCUUACGUGUAGGGCUACACACGUGCUACAAUGGCCGGUACAAAAGGCUGCCAACCCGCGAGGGGGAGCUAAACCAAUAAAGCCGAUCGUAGUCCGGAUUGGAGUCUGCAACUCGACUCCAUGAAGUUGGAAUCGCUAGUAAUCGUGGAUCAGAACGCCACGGUGAAUACGUUCUCGGGCUUUGUACACACCGCCCGUCACACCAUGGGAGUGGAUUGCACCAGAAGUGGGUAGCUUAACCUUUUAGGAGGGCACUUACUACGGUUCGGUUCAUGACUGGGGUGAAGUCGUAACAAGGUAGCCGU
rnacentral:rRNA from 1 species